rnacentral:rRNA from 1 species
UACGGGGGGGGCAAGCGUUGUUCGGAAUUACUGGGCGUAAAGGGCUCGUAGGUGGCCAACUAAGUCAGACGUGAAAUCCCCAGGCUCAACUUGGGAACUGCGUCUGAUACUGGAUGGCUUGAAUUCGGGAGAGGGAUGCAGAAUUCCAGGUGUAGCGGUGAAAUGCGUAGAUAUCUGGAGGAAUACCGGUGGCGAAGGCGGCAUCCUGGACCGAGAUUGACACUGAUGGGCGAAAGCUAGGGGAGCAAACGGG